CCUAAACGAUGUCAACUAGCUGUUGGGGCCGUUAGGCCUUAGUAGCGCAGCUAACGCGUGAAGUUGACCGCCUGGGGAGUACGGUCGCAAGAUUAAAACUCAAAGGAAUUGACGGGGACCCGCACAAGCGGUGGAUGAUGUGGAUUAAUUCGAUGCAACGCGAAAAACCUUACCUACCCUUGACAUGUCUGGAAAGCCGAAGAGAUUUGGCCGUGCUCGCAAGAGAACCGGAACACAGGUGCUGCAUGGCUGUCGUCAGCUCGUGUCGUGAGAUGUUGGGUUAAGUCCCGCAACGAGCGCAACCCUUGUCAUUAGUUGCUACGCAAGAGCACUCUAAUGAGACUGCCGGUGACAAACCGGAGGAAGGUGGGGAUGACGUCAAGUCCUCAUGGCCCUUAUGGGUAGGGCUUCACACGUCAUACAAUGGUCGGGACAGAGGGUCGCCAACCCGCGAGGGGGAGCCAAUCUCAGAAACCCGAUCGUAGUCCGGAUCGCAGUCUGCAACUCGACUGCGUGAAGUCGGAAUCGCUAGUAAUCGCGGAUCAGAAUGUCGCGGUGAAUACGUUCCCGGGUCUUGUACACACCGCCCGUCACACCAUGGGAGUGGGUUUCACCAGAAGUAGGUAGCCUAAC
rnacentral:rRNA from 1 species